GUGGGGAAUCUUGCACAAUGGGCGAAAGCCUGAUGCAGCCAUGCCGCGUGAAUGAUGAAGGCCUUAGGGUUGUAAAAUUCUUUCGUCAGGGAUAAUAAUGACCGUACCUGAAGAAGAAGCCCCGGCUAACUUCGUGCCAGCAGCCGCGGUAAUACGAAGGGGGCUAGCGUUGUUCGGAAUUACUGGGCGUAAAGCGCACGUAGGCGGACUUUUAAGUCAGGUGUGAAAUCCCGGGGCUCAACCUCGGAACUGCAUUUGAAACUGGAAGUCUUGAGAUCAGGAGAGGUUAGCGGAAUACCGAGUGUAGAGGUGAAAUUCGUAGAUAUUCGGUGGAACACCAGUGGCGAAGGCGGCUAACUGGACUGAUACUGACGCUGAGGUGCGAAAGUGUGGGGAGCAAACAGGAUUAGAAACCCGUGUAGUCC
rnacentral:rRNA from 1 species